rnacentral:rRNA from 1 species
GAUGAACGCUGGCGGCGUGCCUAAUACAUGCAAGUAGAACGCUGAAGGAGGAGCUUGCUCUUUCCGGAUGAGUUGCGAACGGGUGAGUAACGCGUAGGUAACCUGCCUGGUAGCGGGGGAUAACUAUUGGAAACGAUAGCUAAUACCGCAUAACAGUAGAUAUUGCCUGAUAUUUGCUUGAAAGGGGCAAUUGCUCCACUACCAGAUGGACCUGCGUUGUAUUAGCUAGUUGGGGAGGUAACGGCUCACCAAGGGGACGAUACAUAGCCGACCCGAGAGGGUGAACGGCCAAACUGGGACUGAGACACGGCCCAGACGCCUACGGGAGGCAGCAGGAGGGAAUCUUCGGCAAUGGACGGAAGUCUGACCGGGCAACGCCGCGUGAGGGAAGAAGGUUUUCGGAUCGUAAAGCUCUGUUGUAAGAGAAGAACGAGUGUGAGAGUGGAAAGUUCACACUGUGACGGUAUCUUACCAGAAAGGGACGGCUAACUACGUG